AAGGAAAUGAUAGGAAGACGAGGAGCCAGUCACUAGCUUCUCACUAGGGGAUAUUUAUUUAUCCAGCAUCUUUGUGUGUGCAUGUGGCAGAGGUUAGGUUUUAUUUCUGGUUUUGAAUUUUUUUAAAAAACAAUAUUUACUACAUAGCCCAGAGUGGUGUGUGAACUUGAGAUCCUCCUAUAACAGUAUCCUGAGUGCUGUUGUUAUAGACAUGCACAGCCAUUGCUACUACCAAUCAGGUUCUAAAUGAACUCAUUCAUUUAAUGCAACGUUAUUAGCCAUAACCUCUGUGCCAUGAAAUGCAAAGAACGGUUUCCUUCAGAGACCCAGAACUUUUUAGGAAACAAGGCAACUAAUGUCAACCAGGUCUGGCUCAAAAGGAAGACGCUUCGCAAGCAUGGAACAAGAUGUUGGUCAUGAGGAGAAGGAAGAGAUUAUACAGAUGCUAACAGGCAGGCUAGAAUUAUGAUUUGGCUUCCAUGUCAGCCCUUCCCAAUGCAGGGCACCGUGGUAUUUUCAUUGUUUUGCAAUGGCUGGCCUACUUUUUCUUUGUUUGGACUAACAUGGGCACUGUCUCCUGUGUCUCUGUAAUCUCUGCAUUCUUACCUUCUUCUCUCCACUCUUUUCUACAAAAAACACCUUGACCAUGGGCUUUCCAUGUCUUCUCCCAACAGACUUAGUGGAGUGUUAAUCCACAUUGUAGACUGCUUCAUUGUAGACAACUGACUGAAGAAAUAAUGGUUUAAAUGUGCUGAGGACAUCAGUGAAAACAGGACAGAAAUACGUUAUUUCCCUUUAACAGCUGGGCAGGUUGAGCAAACAAGGCAUGGAAUUAUAAGACUGCUCCUUUCUUGGAGUCCUGGGACCUCUCUCCACAGAUCUUCAAGCCCCAGGUAGUUUUUCACCUCCAUCUUUGUUGAAUAGCUUUUCCCAGGGGGUUUGUCCACGUAUAACCAUUCAUCCCACAUAAAGCAACAAAGGUUAAACAAGCAAACAAUACCAAACCAGUAUAGUGUGGGGAACCAAAGAAUGGGAAACUUCUCAGUUGCACACCACAAGGCACACCCACCACCACCUUCCCCAACUUGCCCAUGUGUGAUGAGUCAUAGAAGCUGCAGCCUGAGAACUCCCUACCCAACUCUCAGGCAACUCUGAGCUAGAGUAUCCUCCUCCUCCACAUUGCCUCCUGCCUUUAUAACCUUGGCAAGUCAUUGUGCUUAGCAGGUCUUGUAAGUUUUGUGAGAUUGCCAGCCUUGUCAAGUUGUUUUGUUAGCUCCCUGAAUCUUAAAAGCCUCUCUCUAGGGUGGAAUGUUUCAAUUUGAAGGGAAUGGCUUUACAUCAGGUCGUCAAAGGUGAAAUCCGUGUACUUUUUCUGAUCUUUUUUCAUAUAUCACAUGCUAGCUUCUUUGGAUUUAUUGAGGUUUGAUUCAAAAAUUUCUUUCUCAAGAAAGCUUCAUCUUGAGACUUGGUUAUUGCAAGUUUGACUGCUCAAAUCCAUUUCUCUCUUUUGUUUCUCAUAGUUUAAAUUCUAAUCUUUUUGUUACGUUUUUUCCUUGAGCACUUUUGAUCUAUCUCAUGAUUUUGGCAGUGUUGUAUCUGAUUCUCUGUAUGCCCAGCAACAAUUUCUGUUAUAUUUUACAUUCCAAAUGCAUAUUUUUUGAAUAAAUUAGUUAACAACAACAUAUUCUUCUCUUCUCUUUUAUCCUCUAUAUUAUGGAUUUUAAAAUACUGCCUGUUUCCUAAAUUAUUAUGAAACUUGGAUAAAGCCAUGUGCCUUGCACACAUGGUAAGGCUUCACAUGUUGCUAAUAGUGUCAGUAGUAGCUUCGUUGUGUGUUGUUAGUAUUGUUGCUGUUUUUCCCCCCCACCAGGCAUCCUGGAAUGGUUCCAAGUUUUCUACUACCAUGUUGGACUGUUGUAGAAUAGUCAUCAUCAAAUCAUGAGAUUAUUAGUAGCAAUAUUAAGACUCCUAAUAGUUUCGUUUUGGUUUUUAUUGUGGUUUGUUUAUUUUUGUUUGGUUUGGUUUGGUUUUUAACAAUCAGCAGACUUGGUAGUCACAGACUACUUGGUUUCCUGAAUCCAGAGAUGAGUUCAUACCUUGAUCUUCAGAAAUCAGCAUGAUGUUUUGGCUUCUGUUUUGGUUUGGUUUGGGUUGGGUUGGGUUUUUGUUUGUUUGUUUGUUUCAUUUUGUUUUCCAGGUGGGGUCUUUCUGUGCAUCUCUUGGCUGAUGUUAAAUAUGCAAUUCUCCUGCCUCAGCCUCCCAAGUGCUGGGGAUAUAAGCAUGUGCACCUUGCUGCAACAUGAUUUUUUUCUGUCUCCUCAUCUACUUGAGAAGACAAGCUAGAAAGAGUUCAAGAACUCUGCCACUUUUCGGGGGGCAGGAGUAAUAGGCUGCAUGGCAAAUAGUUGUAAGCUCAGUGCUUAUGAAUAUUGCCAGGUCCCUCCGCCAGUGAAGUCACUGCAUGGUAUCAUUCAGUGAGAAUCAGUCUCCUCACAGGGAGUACCAGAGGUUUUCAUAACCUAUUAGUGGUUUUUAUAAACCCAUCCUUCUGUUUUAAAGCUAAACCAGGCAAAUCUAAAUCCACUAGCAAUCCACACCAAGCAUAAAAGUAGCAUUAUCUUCAAU
rnacentral:lncRNA from 1 species